rnacentral:rRNA from 1 species
AUGGGUUGCGGCACCUCCAAGGAAGCCGUGCUCAGCAGCGACGGCAGCGGCAGGUGCAGCCGCAGGUUCCGGCGGAAGUCCAGCGUCGUCGCCACCGCCGCCCACCAGCCGGUCGCCACCAAGGACAAUGGCGACGACGUCAAGGUCCACAGGUCGGCGUCGGCGAAGGAGAAGGCCCCCAAGGAGCGGGACGGCAAGCCCGGUUUGGCGGCGCUCGUCGUCAAGGACGGCGACGAGGCUGCGUCCACCGUGGUCGGGGCCAAGGUCGUCGGGGAGAAGAGAGUGGGGGAGAGCAAGCAGGACGGUAAGAAGGGAGCAGUCGCCGUCCCGGACGCCAAGGGGAAGGGGACGGCGACCGAGGAGGCUGCCGGGCCGAAGAAAGACGAUGGCGUCAGCCAUAAGGAGGUUGUCGCCGAUCGGGACGACGGUGUGGCAUCGACGAGCGAGAGCAUCAUCGUCGUCGAGGAGAUGAGGAAUGGCCAGCCUGUCGAGGUGUCGAUCGCGCCUACCGUCGAGGCGGGAAGAGACCGUCGGCGGGGCGAGGAUGAGGAAGGGUGGUCGGCCGAGGCGAAUGAAGACGAGGCGGCGUCGUCCAACGAGAAGGACAUCGAGGAGAUCAACGUGGAGGAUGACGGUAGUGUCGCCAUCGCGGAUGCCUCCGUGGGCGUAGUCACCAAGGAGGAUGACAGUAUCAUCUCGGCCGAUGCUCCGGCGAUAGAGAAGGACCAGAUCGACACGUUCGUGCCUGCUCCGGCAGCCAAGGCCAACGAGGAUGCCGGUGCCACCUUCCUGGCUGCCCCGGUGGCCGGUGAUGAUGGCAGUGCCUCCUUCGUUGCUGCGCCGGCGGCCAAGGAGGACGAACUUGUAUCCAUCUCGUCUGCUCCGUUGGCGGGGGAGAUUGAGGGUAUCACCAUGGCGGCUGCUCCGGUCGCUGACGAGGUUGAUGUUGCCACCUUCCCGGCCGCUCCGGUGGCCAAGGAGCAGGAAAGUGAAACUGCCGCCUUGGUGGAUGCUCCGGUCGCCGAGGAGGUUAACGUUGCCACCUUCCCAGCUUCUCCGGUGGCCAAGGAGCAGGAAACCGAAACUGCCGCCCUCGUGGAUGCUCCGGCCGCCGAGGAGGUUGGCGUUGCCUCCUUCCCGGCCGCUCCGGUGGCCAAGGAGCAGGAAACCGAAACUGCCGCCCUCGUGGAUGCUCCGGCCGCCGAGGAGGUUGGCGUUGCCUCCUUCCCGGCCGCUUCGGUGACCAAGGAGCAGGAAAGUGAAACUGCCGCCCUCGUGGAUGCUCCGGUCGCCGAGGAGGUUGGCGUUGCCUCCUUCGCGGCCGCACCGGUGAGCAAGGAGCAGCAAAGUGAAACUGCAGCCCUGGUGGAUGCUCCGGUCGCCGAGGAGGUUGACGUUGCCUCCUUCCCGGCCGCUCCGGUGACCAAGGAGCAGGAAAGUGAAACGGCCGCCUUGGUGGAUGCUACGGUCGCCAAGGAUGAGCAAAGUGUAACUACCGCCUUGGUGGAUGCCCCGGUGGCCAAGGCAGAUGGAAGUGCAACCACCGUCGAGGCUGUGCCGGUGGUCACGCGGGAGAAGCAAGAAGAUGCCGUCACCGUAGACGCCCCUGUCCCGACGACGGCCAACGAGGACGAAACUGCCACCGGGGCGGCUGCUCCUGCAACUAACGUGGACGAAAGCGCCGCAUUCCCGACCAAGCCGGUGCCGGAGGUGGAGGUGCCAGAGGCGGCAGAGCAACCCGCGCCUUCCUUGAACAACGACGAUCUGAGAAACGAGCCAGAGCUGCCGGAGCCUACUGCCGUCAAAGAGGCCGCAGUCGAAGCCAAUGGUGAGACCGAGCUAACUAUGAAGGCCACGGCGACGGAGGAGGAGGUGGUCACUGUCGAGGAGGCCGAUGUCGUUCCGCAAAAGGCCGAGAGCGUCUCCCGGGAGCCAGAACAGGAGGAGACAUCCGCGGCCACUUUGAGAGACGAUGAUGGGGAAUCGGACGGAAAAAAAGCCAGUGAUGUGAAGGAGGCCGCAAUAAGCACGGAGGAAAAGGGAGCGGAGGAUAAGCUGACCGUCGAGGAAGAGAAGAAGGCCGGCGAAGAACAAGAACCAGCCGUCGCUCCGGUCGAGUCAUCGUCUAGUUGA